GACGAACGCUGGCGGCGUGCUUAACACAUGCAAGUCGAACGGAAAGGCCCUGCUUUUGUGGGGUGCUCGAGUGGCGAACGGGUGAGUAACACGUGAGUAACCUGCCCUUGACUUUGGGAUAACUUCAGGAAACUGGGGCUAAUACCGGAUAGGAGCUCCUGCUGCAUGGUGGGGGUUGGAAAGUUUCGGCGGUUGGGGAUGGACUCGCGGCUUAUCAGCUUGUUGGUGGGGUAGUGGCUUACCAAGGCUUUGACGUGUAGCCGGCCUGAGAGGGUGACCGGCCACAUUGGGACUGAGAUACGGCCCAGACUCCUACGGGAGGCAGCAGUGGGGAAUAUAGCACAAUGGGCGGAAGCCUGAUGCAGCAACGCCGCGUGCGGGAUGACGGCCUUCGGGUUGUAAACCGCUUUCGCCUGUGACGAAGCGUGAGUGACGGUAAUGGGUAAAGAAGCACCGGCUAACUACGUG
rnacentral:rRNA from 1 species